AAGCGUGCGCAGGCGGUUAUAUAAGACAGAUGUGAAAUCCCCGGGCUCCAACCUGGGAACUGCAUUUGUGACUGUAUAGCUGGAGUGCGGCAGAGGGGGAUGGAAUUCCGCGUGUAGCAGUGAAAUGCGUAGAUAUGCGGAGGAACACCGAUGGCGAAGGCAAUCCCCUGGGCCUGCACUGACGCUCAUGCACGAAAGCGUGGGGAGCAAACAGGAUUAGAUACCCCGGU
rnacentral:rRNA from 1 species